rnacentral:rRNA from 1 species
UACGUAGGGUGCAAGCGUUAAUCGGAAUUACUGGGCGUAAAGCGUGCGCAGGCGGUUGUGCGAGACAGAUGUGAAAUCCCCCGGGCUUAACCUGGGAACUGCAUUUGUGACUGCACGGCUAGAGUGUGUCAGAGGGGGGUAGAAUUCCACGUGUAGCAGUGAAAUGCGUAGAUAUGUGGAGGAAUACCGAUGGCGAAGGCAGCCCCCUGGGAUAACACUGACGCUCAUGCCACGAAAGCGUGGGGAGCAAACAGG